UACGGAGGGGGCUAGCGUUGCUCGGAAUUACUGGGCGUAAAGCGCACGUAGGCGGCUAUGUAAGUUAGAGGUGAAAGCCUGGAGCUCAACUCCAGAACUGCCUUUAAGACUGCAUCGCUUGAAUCCAGGAGAGGUGAGUGGAAUUCCGAGUGUAGAGGUGAAAUUCGUAGAUAUUCGGAAGAACACCAGUGGCGAAGGCGGCACACUGGACUGGUACUGACGCUGAGGUGCGAAAGCGUGGGGAGCAAACAGG
rnacentral:rRNA from 1 species